AUGCUCACUUUGGUGGUACAUAUACUAAAACUGGAAGGAUAUAUUGAAAAUUAGCAUGGCCCCUCUGCGAUGAUGACAUCAAGUUUACGUAGUGCUCCAUAAGUUUUU
rnacentral:snRNA from 1 species